rnacentral:rRNA from 1 species
GGCCAGACUCCUACGGGAGGCAGCAGUGGGGAAUAUUGCACAAUGGGGGGAACCCUGAUGCAGCGACGCCGCGUGGGUGAAGGAGUACUUCGGUACGUAAAGCCCUAUCAGCAGGAAAGAAAAUGACGGUACCUGACUAAGAAGCCCCGGCUAACUACGUGCCAGCAGCCGCGGUAAUACGUAGGGGGCAAGCGUUAUCCGGAUUUACUGGGUGUAAAGGGAGCGUAGACGGCGCUGCAAGUCCGGAGUGAAAGUCCAUGGCUUAACCAUGGUACUGCUCUGGAAACUGUGGAGCUUGAGUGCGGGAGGGGCAGGCGGAAUUCCUAGUGUAGCGGUGAAAUGCGUAGAUAUUAGGAGGAACACCAGUGGCGAAGGCGGCCUGCUGGACUGCAACUGACGUUGAGGCUCGAAGGCGUGGGGAGCAAACAGGAUUAGAUACCCCAGUA